UUUAGAUUAACUUUUAUUAAAAAUUAAUUACAUUGUUUUGGUACACAGAGCAAUAAAUAACCUCACUUUUUGAAUGUCUCCGUUUGACAGAUCAAUGCGUUACGUUCCAUUCUUUUAGUAUAGAAGAAAUGUAUAAUGAAAUUAAAUAUUCAACACUAAAUUUUUAUAAAACUUAAUAUUUAGGCUCUUUAAUUUAAAUUCUAGCUAUUUCUAGUAUUUUCCUCAAUGUUUAUAUUAAAAUAACAUUGUAAUGUAUCUUGAUCGAUCAUGGGUUCGGAACGUUCUAGAAAUUUGACAUAUUCUGAGUGAAACGAAACGCGCGGGAGACGGUCCGAAUACUAUGAGUGACGUUUCUUCUGUUUCUAAAAGUUAAAUAAAUUAAUUAAAUUUAAAUCGGAGGAGCAGUUUUGUGAGUUCUCAUAUCAAAAUUAUUCAAUAAGAGGCUGGUUGACUCAAAUAGAACUUAUUAGAAAUAGAAAUAAAAAAUAAAAAUGAAGAAACAUUUUUAUUGUUUGUUAUUGUUGGGUUUGAUUCGGACCACAAGUCACAGGUGAUGACCGGCGCUUUUUGGAGUGUCCUUUUUCUUUUGCUGGGUUGUCCGUGCUCGCGAGUGGAGGUUCCGGUGUGCGUGGUGUCCUAGUGUCCCGAUUCCAGGAGGUCCGAACCGUGCCGAUUCCCAAAUAAACGGGCAGGGCACGCAUCGUCAUCCUCAGCGAAAAUAAGGGAAUUCAGAAAUAAAUCCGAAAGCCCCGUGAUUUCGUGGACUCACUGCCACGUGCCGAAUUUUAUUACGGAAGAUUGUGUGUGGUUGAGCAGUGCUCGGUGGCGAGCCUCUGCACUGUCUGCUGUUGCUGUCUAUUGUUGCUGUCUGUUGUUGCUGACGUUGCCUCCAUAGCAGGUGACGAUGGUGCCUGAGAGUCGUUCCCCGACCAUGACUGGCCGAUAUGUACACUACCGCGGUCCU